rnacentral:lncRNA from 1 species
AUGGCACUUUUAUUUGGUGCCACCUCUCAUUUUUUAUGGACAAAACCCCAUAGUGAGCAAUCAGGACAGAAGUGGGAAACCCAGGAGCCUUUGCCUUCCACAGUGGACUUAAUUUCCAUUUUCUCUUCUCUUUCAGGACAGGAAGAAAUGCUUAACUCAUCCCAUCUUUGCCCAGAGCCUUGGUGUUUGAGCAGCCAAACCCAACAAGCUCCAGAACUGCUGGUCCUGCCCAUGGUGUGGGAUUCUGGACUUGCCUCUGUGGACAUGUGUGCUGAGCUCUCACUGCAGGGAACUGUCAGGCCUUGAUGGUUAUGAAUUAUACCCACAGCCCCAAAUUCCCUGCUGAAUUCCUGCUGGAAUAACCCAACAGUGCCUUGUGGAGUCUGGACAUUCCCAUGUAGAGCUGCCGUUGAACAGCAGCUGUGGCAGGAACCAGCAGAGGUUCCAGGACAAGGACAGGUUUGUAUUCCAUAGAAUUUGUUAUUUAUAACCCUCAUCCCCCAGCCCCACUGAUGUCCCUGGGGGACACUUGACAGAGUUCCCUGGAAUUCAGCUGAUUUCAUCCCCCUGAGCUCGGGCUCCAGUUGAAAUUUUAAAGCAGGAGAAGGUGAUGGCUCCUGGCCCGUGCUGAGGCAGCCCCUGUGCCCAGGGGAGGACAUCUCUCCCUGCAGGAGCUGACUCCAUCUCAGAGCCUCAGGAGUGCCUCUGCAGGUUCUUUUCCCUCAGGAAAGGGAUGCACAUCCCUGCUUCCAGCACACCUCCAGUGGGACCCACCUGUGAAAGUUUUCCAUCAGUUCUGUGGUUCCAGCUGGC